AUUGAACGCUGGCGGCAGGCCUAACACAUGCAAGUAGAACGAGUGGCGGACGGGUGAGUAAUGUCUGGGACAGUUCCUGAUGGAGGGGGUUCCCUUCUGGAAACGUUAACCAAUCACGCAUAACAUCAGAUGUGCCCAGAUGGGAUUAGCUAGUGGUUGGGGUAACGGCCCACGAAGGCGACGAUCCCUAGCUGGUAUGAGAGGAUGACGAGCCACACUGGAACUGAGACACGGUCCAGACUCCGACGGGAGGCAGCAGUGGGGAAUAUUGCACAAUGGGCGCAAGCCUGAUGCAGCCAUGCCGCGUGUGUGAAGAAGGCCUUCGGGUUGUAAAGUACUUUCAGCGGGGAGGCGUUACCCGCAGAAUAAGCACCGGCUAACUCCGUGCCAGCAGCCGCGGUAAUUC
rnacentral:rRNA from 1 species